AAGCCCAGGCCUCUGGACUAUGGAGCCGUUGCAGGAAGGAGGCAGGAAGGCUGCACCUGGGGCUCGCACGUCCUGGCGGGAUGGAGAUGGAGGAUGUUGGUGGCAAUUGCGAUUCAUUCCUUGGAGGGAAAAGAUGAUGAAGUGGUCUGGGGCUCACUCCAUGAAGGAAGAUGACAGCCUGGGAGACGAGCCACCUCUGUGA
rnacentral:lncRNA from 1 species